rnacentral:miRNA from 1 species
AGAGGUCUUCCAUGAUGUAUUC